rnacentral:rRNA from 1 species
AAUAUUGGACAAUGGGGGCAACCCUGAUACAGCCAUGCCGCGUGUGUGAAGAAGGUCUUCGGUUUGUAAAGCACUUUAAGUUGGGAGGAAGGGCUUUAGGCUAAUACCCUGAAGUUUUGACGUUACCAACAGAAUAAGCACCGGCUAACUCUGUGCCAGCAGCCGCGGUAAAACAGAGGGUGCAAGCGUUUAUCGGAAUUGCGGGGCGUAAAGCGGGCGUUGGCUGUUCAGUAAAGUGGGUUUUAAAUCCCCGGGCUUAACCCUGGAACUGCUUUCAAAACUGCUGAGCUAGGGUAACGUAGAGGGGAGGGGAAUUUUCUUGUUAGCGGUUAAAUGCGUAAGAUUAGGAAGGAACCCCAGUGGGGAAGGCGACUACCUGGACUUAUACUGACCCUGAGGUGCGAAAGCGUGGGGAGCAAACA